ACGACAUUUCUUCUGAAACAAGACCUGGACCACAUUCCUGCCAUCAAAAUAGUUGUUUUUCUUUACCUGCAGAAGUCAAGCGUGCUGUUGGUCCCCGUCAAGUUGUCUCCAAGUUAUUUCCUUUUCUUUCGGUUGCCACUGUGGAUGAUGAUGAUUCAGAGAAGAGAUGCGCAAAGAACAUCUGCAAAGGAAAGAGAGAUAGAUAGAGAGAGAAAGGGAGGGAGGGAGGUAGAGAGAGCCGUGAUAUAUCUGGUCUGUUUUCUUUCAUGUGUCAUGUGAAGGAGCUUCAGUCGCCCUCGCCUCCGCAGAUACAGAUUCAUUUAGGCUUUAAACUGGAUUCAACGAAACCUUCCUUGUGUUGUCGGGCAUUUGGCGCAAAAAAUCUGAGCCUUUUUGAUCGAUCCAAGCAGAAGGGGCGUCUUUCCUCCCCACGUCAGCUGACACCAUCGAGAGGAGGCCAGAAAACGGUCGCGUCGCACAGCAGGUGAAGCCCUACAAAAGAAGACACCCUCUUGAAGACAAAGCAAGGGGAAGGAAGACAACGUCGCAGUUCAAGGCCCUCUGACUCGAAGGGCAAACAAUACCUCAUAAGUUAAUACAAAAAUAGACUAUGAAGUGUUUUCCGGAGUUCAUACGAAGCGGUAAGUACUUUAAAGAGAGAAAUAUGUUCAUUCCUGGCAGCUCGGAGGCAGAAAGGACAUCGUCAAGCCGAGCUUUGGCUCCCUCUAGCCGUCCCUCCAUGUUACUCUGUAACUGCACUCCAGCCUGACCCACCCUGAUCUUAAACACGUCUAUAUCACCCAAAAAUAAACCAAAACCUAAUUUUCUCGUCUUUACUGUGAAGUUUACACCCUCCACUCACAAUUAGGACCACAUUUGGUAUGUUUAAACAAGACAGAAGCCAAGAUUACUUACAUAUAGAGAGUGUGUACACUACACAGUGCCUCUCCAAAGUCCCAGGCUCGACAACCUCCGUCUUCUUCCCAGCAAUCCCUGCAAAAAAGGACACGUCCAUGUAUGUUGAACAUGUAGGGGUGCUUGUAAUAUACAAAACAUUUUUAGGCAUCUAAAAUAAGCCAAAAAGCCCCAAAAAUGUAGAUUUUUCCCUUUUCAAAAUAUUGCAACAAAAUAAUAUUUAAAAAUACAUUUUCAAAAACAGAAAAUGGCUUAGCUUUAUUCUCCAUUCGAGAGUUUCUACCCCCUAUAUUUACAACUUAUUUUGGUCCAUCCAGUAGCUGUACAGUUUAUACUGAGUAGCGAUUGUAUAUUGUGCGUAGUCGGAACCCUUCUGCUGUCUUCCCCUUUAAUGUGCGCUUGCCGAGCCCUGGGGCAUCCAUGAAGGCUACAAAGAGGCCAUUUGUACUUUAUAUCGGUCAAAAGACUCGUUUCUUCUGGUUCCUACCAAACGCAACUCAAAAUAGAUACCAACAAACAGACGCACAAUUAAUCCAAGUCAGUGCCUCCAAAAUUAUGUGUAUCAAAAUGCAAAUAAAGCUCGCUCAGCUUGAAGCUUGAACCGAGACAAAUCCAGUUCAUCCAGCUUUAAAAGCAAAUAAAAUGUGUUUGUCCUACAACCUAACACUUGCCAUGAUAUUUUAGCACUAAUGCGGAGGAAAGUGCGCCAAAUUGUGCGUCUCUCUCCAAGUUCACCUUAAUCCAUCAGCUAUAUUUACUAUACCAAAUCAUCAAUGGAAUUAUUCACAUAAUUGUUAAUAACCGUUGCCGUUAAUAAAAUAUGAUCAGACCCAUCAAUUAUUAUACAGUAUCUAAAGAUUGAUACACAGCAAACCCCACAGGCGAACAAUAGAGUUAUAAAGCAACUUCUCCAGUGCGUAAAAUGUAGCCACCAGCCAAUGCCAGCUAAUGACAUUUAAUACGACAAAAUCGCUCCAACUGGAAUGAAUGUAUGCAAAUAUGUAACCGACGGCGCAGCGAUGGACCCCCCCCUCUCAAUUUGUAGCGCUAUAGUUAAGCGAAAAAUACCACGAGCGUGUUCCGACCUGAACACAAGGACAGCUGGAGACCCCGUAUUUCACCUCUGUCCUUACCCGAGAAUGAGAAAAAUGUGAGGAAAAUCCAGUAAAAGACGUCAAGUUUCAAGAUAUCCUGAGGUCCUCUGGUGGAAAAAAACAACGCGUGGGGUGAAGAGAAAGAGCUGAUGCGCCUGUCGUCUUGGAGCGUGCGCAGCUGUCUGUGCGCUCGUGUUACAGUCAUUCAGAACAGAACAAACACACUCGCACACACGCGUCCCAUACAUACUCCAGUGACCGCGUUUGUGCAAGAUCAUCUGUGGUCAACGUGCGUAAUGUUUUUGCCUCAACAACACGGUCUGUUGCAAAACGUUCGUGUCAUGUUUUGCCUUGAAGCUGGUGGCAGGUGUUUUUUUUACUUGACACACUAGUUUAACAUCCUGCUUCUUUUUACACCCUCACACAUUUCUGACCUUUUCAAAGAGAAACCCACUCUCCUUUCUUUAUUACUGUAUUAUCCAAACAUGAUAAGUGCAUAAUCACUGCAGUCUAUUCGAGACCAUCCAUAUACAUGGCAUCCAGGGUUAGGCUCCAGGGUUCAGAUCAUUUCAGUGCAGUUGUUUUUUAAAAACAAAAGCAUGCUGAAGGCCACUAGCUUAAUAUUAUAUAUAUUAGACUCUCAUCAUUCCAUUGUGGUCACGUGGCACUCCCAUAAGAUGGAUGGAACUCUUGAUUGUGUCAAUCGACAGUGUGAAUUGCAAACUGUUUCUUAAGUGAGUUUCUGGAACAGAUUACUAUGGAGUGAGUCAUUCCCUUAAAAUCCAUGUACGACCUACUAGCGACUCACUUCUCGCAUUAAAGCAAGGCCCCCUCGCUCAUCACUGGAUAAUAAGGGUCAAACGUUUGAAAUAUUUUUCAGUUUGAAUUCAAUUAUAUUAUAUAUUCAAUUAUUUUGUGUAUUUUUGAACAUUUCUGAAUGCAACUGUAUUUUUGUGGUAAUUUUAUUUUAUAUUUAUGUAUAUUUUUAAUUAUUGAGUCAUAUAGAUAUAUACUCAUGU